rnacentral:rRNA from 1 species
UACAUGUGGGGCAAGCGUUGUCCGGAUUUACUGGGCGUAAAGAGCGCGCAGGCGGUCGUUCAAGUCGCGUGUGAAAGCCCCCCGGCUCAACUGGGGAGGGUCACGCGAUACUGAUCGACUCGAAGGCAGGAGAGGGUAGUGGAAUUCCCGGUGUAGUGGUGAAAUGCGUAGAUAUCAGGAGGAACACCAGUGGCGAAGGCGACUACCUGGCCUGUUCUUGACGCUGAGGCGCGAAAGCUAGGGGAGCAAACGGG